CCGUACUCAAACACAUCUUUGUUCGGUCGCGAUAAGCACCCGCUAAGUGAUAUGGACAUUCAGAAUUUCGUUUUCAAUCCAAACAAUGCAAUAAAAAAUUUCCGCCUCAAUAAAUAGACGUAUUGACAAGUUAAUGGAUUUAAUUGGACGUUGGUUGUAAAUUAAAAUGGCCGCCACGUUAAUUUUAAGCUCGGCAUUUUGUAUAAAAUAAUCGGUGGAACGUUCGCCUAAUACGAUAGUAAAUUAGGGUGUUGCGACGCGGCGGUGGCGCGGCGGCACGCUGACGCGACUAUUAGCUGAUUUAUGUCGAGCUGUUAUCAGGAUUACUCCAUUGUCACUAAUCCUCCACUAUGCAAAGAACGUUCGGGCGCUCUGAAUUUAAUUACCUUCCUUAUUACAACAUCGCCCUCGAGAUUUUUCUGACGUAACCUCUUUACAGGACUCACAUUGGCACGGUCACGCAGUAUGUUGGCAUAGUGCCUCGACGGAGCGAUAUCGGAAGUGCCGACUAACAUCCGUUUCCUGGAAAUGGCAGACUGCGCAAACGGCUCACAUCUAUUGUUUUCGCUUUAUCCAAAAAAUCUUGUAUCCGGAGUAAAUGAUCAAACGUUG